rnacentral:rRNA from 1 species
CUGAGACACGGACCAGACUCCUACGGGAGGCAGCAGUGAGGAAUAUUGGUCAAUGGACGAAAGUCUGAACCAGCCAUGCCGCGUGCAGGAAGACGGUCCUCUGGAUUGUAAACUGCUUUUGUUAGGGAAGAAACCCUCGGAUGCGUCCGGGGCUGACGGUACCUAAAGAAUAAGGAUCGGCUAACUCCGUGCCAGCAGCCGCGGUAAUACGGAGGAUCCAAGCGUUAUCCGGAUUUAUUGGGUUUAAAGGGUGCGUAGGCGGCGUUGUAAGUCAGUGGUGAAAGUUUGCAGCUUAACUGUAAAAUUGCCAUUGAUACUGCAGUGCUUGAGUACAGAUGAGGUGGGCGGAAUGUGUCAUGUAGCGGUGAAAUGCAUAGAUAUGACACAGAACACCGAUUGCGAAGGCAGCUCACUAAACUGUAACUGACGCUGAGGCACGAAAGCGUGGGGAUCAAACAGGAUUAGAUACCCUGGUAGUCCACGCCCUAAACGAUGAUUACUCGAUGUUAGCGAUAUACAGUUAGCGUCAAAGCGAAAGCGUUAAGCAAUCCACCUGGGGAGUACGCCGGCAACGGUGAAACUCAAAGGAAUUGACGGGGGCCCGCACAAGCGGAGGAGCAUGUGGUUUAAUUCGAUGAUACGCGAGGAACCUUACCCGGGCUUGAAAGUUAGUGAAUGAUACAGAAAUGUAUCAGUCCGCAAGGACACGAAACUAGGUGCUGCAUGGCUGUCGUCAGCUCGUGCCGUGAGGUGUUGGGUUAAGUCCCGCAACGAGCGCAACCCCUAUGUUUAGUUGCCAGCACAUAAUGGUGGGGACUCUAAACAGACUGCCUACGCAAGUAGAGAGGAAGGAGGGGACGACGUCAAGUCAUCAUGGCCCUUACGUCCGGGGCUACACACGUGCUACAAUGGUCGGUACAGAGGGCAGCAAGCUAGCAAUAGUAAGCAAAUCUCAAAAAGCCGAUCACAGUUCGGAUUGGGGUCUGCAACUCGACCCCAUGAAGUUGGAUUCGCUAGUAAUCGCAUAUCAGCAAUGAUGCGGUGAAUACGUUCCCGGGCCUUGUACACACCGCCCGUCAAGCCAUGAAAGCUGGGGGAACCUGAAGUCUGUCACCGUAAGGAGCGGCCUAGGGUAAAACCGGUAAUUGGGGCUAAGUCGUAACAAGGUAGCC